GGUUAAGCGACUAAGCGUACACGGUGGAUGCCCUGGCAGUCAGAGGCGAUGAAGGACGUGCUAAUCUGCGAUAAGCGUCGGUAAGGUGAUAUGAACCGUUAUAACCGGCGAUUUCCGAAUGGGGAAACCCAGUGUGUUUCGACACACUAUCAUUAACUGAAUCCAUAGGUUAAUGAGGCGAACCGGGGGAACUGAAACAUCUAAGUACCCCGAGGAAAAGAAAUCAACCGAGAUUCCCCCAGUAGCGGCGAGCGAACGGGGAGCAGCCCAGAGCCUGAAUCAGUGUGUGUGUUAGUGGAAGCGUCUGGAAAGGCGCGCGAUACAGGGUGACAGCCCCGUACACAAAAAUGCACAUGCUGUGAGCUCGAUGAGUAGGGCGGGACACGUGGUAUCCUGUCUGAAUAUGGGGGGACCAUCCUCCAAGGCUAAAUACUCCUGACUGACCGAUAGUGAACCAGUACCGUGAGGGAAAGGCGAAAAGAACCCCGGCGAGGGGAGUGAAAAAGAACCUGAAACCGUGUACGUACAAGCAGUGGGAGCACGCUUAGGCGUGUGACUGCGUACCUUUUGUAUAAUGGGUCAGCGACUUAUAUUCUGUAGCAAGGUUAACCGAAUAGGGGAGCCGAAGGGAAACCGAGUCUUAACUGGGCGUUAAGUUGCAGGGUAUAGACCCGAAACCCGGUGAUCUAGCCAUGGGCAGGUUGAAGGUUGGGUAACACUAACUGGAGGACCGAACCGACUAAUGUUGAAAAAUUAGCGGAUGACUUGUGGCUGGGGGUGAAAGGCCAAUCAAACCGGGAGAUAGCUGGUUCUCCCCGAAAGCUAUUUAGGUAGCGCCUCGUGAAUUCAUCUCCGGGGGUAGAGCACUGUUUCGGCAAGGGGGUCAUCCCGACUUACCAACCCGAUGCAAACUGCGAAUACCGGAGAAUGUUAUCACGGGAGACACACGGCGGGUGCUAACGUCCGUCGUGAAGAGGGAAACAACCCAGACCGCCAGCUAAGGUCCCAAAGUCAUGGUUAAGUGGGAAACGAUGUGGGAAGGCCCAGACAGCCAGGAUGUUGGCUUAGAAGCAGCCAUCAUUUAAAGAAAGCGUAAUAGCUCACUGGUCGAGUCGGCCUGCGCGGAAGAUGUAACGGGGCUAAACCAUGCACCGAAGCUGCGGCAGCGACGCUUAUGCGUUGUUGGGUAGGGGAGCGUUCUGUAAGCCUGUGAAGGUGUGCUGUGAGGCAUGCUGGAGGUAUCAGAAGUGCGAAUGCUGACAUAAGUAACGAUAAAGCGGGUGAAAAGCCCGCUCGCCGGAAGACCAAGGGUUCCUGUCCAACGUUAAUCGGGGCAGGGUGAGUCGACCCCUAAGGCGAGGCCGAAAGGCGUAGUCGAUGGGAAACAGGUUAAUAUUCCUGUACUUGGUGUUACUGCGAAGGGGGGACGGAGAAGGCUAUGUUGGCCGGGCGACGGUUGUCCCGGUUUAAGCGUGUAGGCUGGUUUUCCAGGCAAAUCCGGAAAAUCAAGGCUGAGGCGUGAUGACGAGGCACUACGGUGCUGAAGCAACAAAUGCCCUGCUUCCAGGAAAAGCCUCUAAGCAUCAGGUAACAUCAAAUCGUACCCCAAACCGACACAGGUGGUCAGGUAGAGAAUACCAAGGCGCUUGAGAGAACUCGGGUGAAGGAACUAGGCAAAAUGGUGCCGUAACUUCGGGAGAAGGCACGCUGAUAUGUAGGUGAGGUCCCUCGCGGAUGGAGCUGAAAUCAGUCGAAGAUACCAGCUGGCUGCAACUGUUUAUUAAAAACACAGCACUGUGCAAACACGAAAGUGGACGUAUACGGUGUGACGCCUGCCCGGUGCCGGAAGGUUAAUUGAUGGGGUUAGCGCAAGCGAAGCUCUUGAUCGAAGCCCCGGUAAACGGCGGCCGUAACUAUAACGGUCCUAAGGUAGCGAAAUUCCUUGUCGGGUAAGUUCCGACCUGCACGAAUGGCGUAAUGAUGGCCAGGCUGUCUCCACCCGAGACUCAGUGAAAUUGAACUCGCUGUGAAGAUGCAGUGUACCCGCGGCAAGACGGAAAGACCCCGUGAACCUUUACUAUAGCUUGACACUGAACAUUGAGCCUUGAUGUGUAGGAUAGGUGGGAGGCUUUGAAGUGUGGACGCCAGUCUGCAUGGAGCCGACCUUGAAAUACCACCCUUUAAUGUUUGAUGUUCUAACGUUGACCCGUAAUCCGGGUUGCGGACAGUGUCUGGUGGGUAGUUUGACUGGGGCGGUCUCCUCCUAAAGAGUAACGGAGGAGCACGAAGGUUGGCUAAUCCUGGUCGGACAUCAGGAGGUUAGUGCAAUGGCAUAAGCCAGCUUGACUGCGAGCGUGACGGCGCGAGCAGGUGCGAAAGCAGGUCAUAGUGAUCCGGUGGUUCUGAAUGGAAGGGCCAUCGCUCAACGGAUAAAAGGUACUCCGGGGAUAACAGGCUGAUACCGCCCAAGAGUUCAUAUCGACGGCGGUGUUUGGCACCUCGAUGUCGGCUCAUCACAUCCUGGGGCUGAAGUAGGUCCCAAGGGUAUGGCUGUUCGCCAUUUAAAGUGGUACGCGAGCUGGGUUUAGAACGUCGUGAGACAGUUCGGUCCCUAUCUGCCGUGGGCGCUGGAGAACUGAGGGGGGCUGCUCCUAGUACGAGAGGACCGGAGUGGACGCAUCACUGGUGUUCGGGUUGUCAUGCCAAUGGCACUGCCCGGUAGCUAAAUGCGGAAGAGAUAAGUGCUGAAAGCAUCUAAGCACGAAACUUGCC
rnacentral:rRNA from 1 species